rnacentral:misc_RNA from 1 species
CUUUUGGCCUCGUUUUCAAGUGAUAAGAGUAUAGACCACUGCCCAACCAACACAACAAACACAUUCUCCUAACUUCUCUUUUUUCUCUCUCUCUUCUCUCUAAUUCAAAUCCCGAUUCAAGCAUAAUACAUUCGUUUCAAGUCUUUACAUUCGUUUCAAGUCUUUCCAGUUAUGGAAAAUCAACAACCUUCCUUCAUAUCAAGAUUCAGACGUGUCUGUGUCUUCUGCGGUAGCAGCCCUGGAAAGAAUCCUAGCUACCAGCUUGCUGCUAUCCAACUUGGCCAGCAACUGGUAUAUCUAUAUCUUGCUUCUUCGAUUUCCUCCAUAAAGAUUAUGCUUUUGCUUCUUUAUUCUUUAGUGAGAAGGGUUGGUUGAUUAUGGGUAAAUCUUCAUGUUUGUUCUUUUAUGUUAAAAUUCAAGUGUUUAGCUGAAGGGUAUGGUAGAGCAAACCAGAGAUCUUGCAAGCCUCUGCUCUGCAGCAUCCUCUGUUUUUGUUUAGCAUUUGAUUAUCUGGAAUUGGUGUAGUAAUAAGUAUUAAUUAAUGAAGAAUUUAGUAGGGUUAAACAAGUUUGAUUCGGAUACGUCUCUUAGUAGAAAAUAAGAAUAAUAAUUGCAGGUCGAAAGGAACAUUGACUUGGUUUAUGGUGGAGGAAGCAUUGGUCUGAUGGGUCUGGUCUCCCAAGCUGUUUAUGAUGGUGGCCGCCACGUUUUGGGGUAAACCUCUCUCCUCCCUCUCCCUUUCUCACAGUCACACACACCUGUUCUAUAAUCUUAAUCUUUUUAAUUUCUUUUGCUACAGAGUGAUACCUAAAACUCUUAUGCCAAGAGAGGUAACAAAAAUUGAAUUUAUUUCCAUGCCUGAAAGUUUCCAAUUUGGAGAAAAGUACUGAACGAACUGCAAUAUUAUAUCAGAUAACAGGAGAAACAGUAGGGGAAGUAAGAGCAGUAUCAGGCAUGCACCAGAGAAAAGCAGAAAUGGCUCGUCAGGCUGAUGCAUUUAUAGCCUUACCUGGUGGCUAUGGAACCUUGGAAGAACUGUUGGAAGUCAUAACCUGGGCUCAGCUUGGAAUCCAUGAUAAACCGGUUGGGCUAUUGAACGUUGAUGGCUACUACAACUCACUUCUCUCAUUCAUUGACAAAGCUGUUGAUGAAGGCUUCAUUACCCCAGCUGCCCGUCACAUUAUUGUUUCUGCCCAAUCUGCCCAUGAACUCAUGUGCAAGCUUGAGGUAUAUAUCUCCUCAAUUAUUUUUUUAUCCUUCCCAUCUUCGUAGAUUAUAAUAUACCAUAAGAUGGUAUCACUAGAGUUAGUUUAGUGCUCUCACCAGCAUUCCCACAACAAGCUUCUUACAAAUCUUGUUCUGAAAUUGAGAUAAACUGGUCUUCAAAUUGAGACAGCUUGUUGUCAAAGGACAUGCAUGUGGUCUUCAAGUAAGCCACAGCACCUUAAAGGCAAUCUGUUGCAAGCUUCUCACGGCAUGGGCUUCACGUAAAUGGGCCACCAUUCAUUGAUUUGUUCUUUAUUUGUUAAAUAGAUACUGAAUGCUGAACUUCAAUAAAUCUCCAACCAUAAUUCACAUAUCUUCAUUUAAUUUUUAAAAUGCACCUUUUUCUUUGGAUGACACUGCAAACACCUGCUCCUUGCUUCAUCAACUUUUAAUUCACCAUCAUUGGCCAAUGUAACAAUUCCCUCAUCUAAUUAAUUAUGAUAUUUGAAUUGAACAGGAAUAUGAACCAAGGCACAAUGGGGUGACCUCUAAGCUAAGUUGGGAGAUGGAGCAACAAUUGGGUUACACAAUAAAGUCAGAUAUUGUUCGCUGACUUGGUGAUUUUUAUAUGAUAAAAGGAUUGGAUGACCUUAGCUGAUCUUCUAAAAUUUAAUACACACAAGCUAUUUAUAUAUGUAGAUCUGAGCUCCACCAAAAGGAAUGCCACCACAGUUCUUUUAAUCAGCUGUGGAUCAUGCUUUUUUUUUUUUUAAUUAUUAUAAUUUUUUGGUUAUCUAAUUUUGCUAAUUAGUGUCUUUCUUGGAUAAACAAGGGGAGUUAGUUUUAUUACUAAUUCCAAGUAUGUUGUCAGUGAUGAUUACUAAUUGUGUAAUUUUGUAUAUUGAUUUUCUAUAAUAUAUUGUUUUGAUAAUCAAUGAGUUCUAAA